UUAAUAAAUAACAAUAAUACGAGUUAACGCUUGUAGUAUUAAGAGAUAGUUGUUUAUUAAGCGUUAACUCAAAGAUAGGCACUUGUGUGUGACUGUAUGACCACGGAAAUCUGAGUCAGAUUGGAGGCAGGCAGUGGAUCGAGUUGAAUAUGACCUUGAUGGACACAAAGCAAGGAUAAAAUAUGAAACAGCGACUUGGAAAAUUCAGUACUGAUUAGAUGACGAGACUGUUCCAAUGUUGCUCCAAAUUUGUCAUGGAGAGGAAUCUUUGCCCUUGGAUUGUCGACGAGUAUUCGUAAGACCAACCUUGAAAUAAAGUAACCCAUUUAUAUACCUAUUAUUUGUUUAACAAUAUUUUUAUUUCAUGUGGGUAUAAAAAUACUGCGAUUACAUGACACGAUUAGGAUGCGCCAUAACAAAUAUUUAAAAGUAUAGAGGCAAAUUUAUGCCGCAAUGGCCAUCACUUGUAUUCUUCGAAUUUUCAAUGUUUUACCCGCUAUUGGUAUUAAAAAAUUCAUUUCCCUCUGUCGAUCUCAUAUAAAUAAAAUAAUUGGGUAUAUCAAAACUUGAUUAUGAUUUAACCAGAAUUUUAAUUAUAAAUAAAUAAAACAUUAAAAA